AGUCAAGUAAUUAAGUGCAUGUGGUGGAUGCCUUGGCAGUCAGAGGCGAUGAAAGACGUGAUAGCCUGCGAAAAGCUCCGGGGAGGCGGCAAAUAUCCUUUGAUCCGGAGAUGUCUGAAUGGGGGAACCCACCUACUUUAAGGUAGGUAUUGCAACAUGAAUACAUAGUGUUGCAAGGCGAACGAGGGGAAGUGAAACAUCUCAGUACCCUUAGGAAAAGAAAUCAAUUGAGAUUCCCUCAGUAGCGGCGAGCGAACGGGGAUCAGCCCAUUAAGUUAUGUGUGUUUUAGUGGAACGCUCUGGGAAGUGCGAACGUAGAGGGUGAUAUUCCCGUACACGAAAGGGCACACAUAAUGAUGACGAGUAGGGCGAGGCACGUGAAACCUUGUCUGAAUAUGGGGGGACCAUCCUCCAAGGCUAAAUACUCCUGACUGACCGAUAGUGAACCAGUACCGUGAGGGAAAGGCGAAAAGAACCCCUGUGAGGGGAGUGAAAUAGAUCCUGAAACCGCAUGCAUACAAGCAGUGGGAGCACCUUCGUGGUGUGACUGCGUACCUUUUGUAUAAUGGGUCAGCGACUUAUAUUCAGUAGCGAGGUUAACCGUAUAGGGGAGCCGUAGAGAAAUCGAGUCUUAAUAGGGCGUUUAGUUGCUGGGUAUAGACCCGAAACCAGGC
rnacentral:rRNA from 1 species